CCAAAAGAAAGGAUGAGAGGAGAAAGAGAAAAUACCAAGGAAAAGGACAAGAUAGAUGGUACAGCAGAAGAAACUGAGGAAAGAGAGCAAGCCACACCCCGGGGGCGAAAGACUGCCAACAGUCAGGGCCGCCGUAAGGGCCGGAUCACCAGGUCCAUGACAAACGAAGCUGCAGCUGCCAGUGCUGCAGCCGCAGCGGCCACUGAAGAGCCCCCACCACCUCUGCCACCGCCACCAGAACCCAUUUCUACAGAGCCUGUGGAGACCUCUCGAUGGACAGAAGAAGAAAUGGAAGUUGCUAAAAAAGGUCUAGUAGAACAUGGUCGUAACUGGGCAGCAAUUGCUAAAAUGGUGGGAACGAAAAGUGAAGCUCAAUGUAAAAACUUCUAUUUUAACUAUAAAAGGCGACACAAUCUUGACAACCUCUUACAGCAGCAUAAACAGAAAACUUCACGAAAACCUCGUGAAGAGCGAGAUGUGUCUCAAUGUGAAAGUGUCGCUUCCACUGUUUCUGCUCAGGAGGAUGAAGAUAUUGAAGCCUCCAAUGAAGAAGAAAAUCCAGAAGACAGCGAAGUUGAAGCUGUCAAGCCCAGCGAGGACAGUCCUGAAAAUGC
rnacentral:sRNA from 1 species